rnacentral:lncRNA from 1 species
GCUCAUUCAGAAGUAUCUUACAGGAUCCCAAAGUAGUAAAUCCUAUACAACCACUUUUGGGCAUAAUGCCCUCAUCAUGAUUAAUGCAUGUGAUGUGCUAUUGGUAAAAUUUUCAUUCCAGCAUAGGCAAUAAUUUGCUACACAUUGGAUGAACUAUGAUAUAUCACUGACUAGUUAAAGCUCAUAAAGCAGGUAAUCAAUCUUAUGCUGAAACCAGGAGUCCGUCAAUAAUAGACCCGUCUAUUUCAGGUAUAAGUCCCCAACUUUUUGCCUCUCAUUUAACACGGCAUUCAUAAUUGUCCCAAGCAAGUGGUUCUAAUGAGCAGCUCAUAGCUUCUGUGGCGUGAAAAAAAUAUUAAAUGGCUUUGAAAAGUUUUCUCUGCAGCAACCUGGGGGAGAACAUACGUUCAAAAAAUAGAACCACUUUUCCAUUUCAAGGGUGAAAACUACUUUUCCAUAACAAAUGUCCUCAAGGAAAUGGGUUGAAGCGCAUAUCUUUUACUAAAAAUCUCUACUUGAGUGUAUCACUUUUAGGAAAUAUCAGUCAUCAUAUCCCCGGUCACCAAAAUUCCCUUCUAUUCAUUGGUUGCAUUCCAGUUCAAAAAAAAAAAAACCGUGCCACAUUUUCAAGCACAUUACCUUACAAACAAGUCUCCGAGUGCAGUAGGGAAGAAAAAUUGCUGUGCAGGAAAAAUACAAAAUUUACCGCUAAAAUUCGAGAAACGGAAAAUGUCAUGCAUAACUCACAAGCUUCCUUUCUUGUAGCUGUCCGAGAAAUCCAUGUUGAUUCAGCGUCCGAAAGACCAGAAAGUCUGCCUUACCAAUGUAUUGCCUAUGUACAGUAGAGCAAGAGGAGCGUAUUCGUAAGUAAUGUCAUUGAAUAUAAUAAUUGUGAU